rnacentral:rRNA from 1 species
CAGCAAUCGAGCGUGUCUGAUUUGAUGCUUGCAUUGAUGAAAGAUGAGCGGCGGACGGGUGAGUAACGCGUGGGUAACCUGCCCUAUACACAUGGAUAACAUACUGAAAAGUUUACUAAUACAUGAUAAUAUAUAUUUACGGCAUCGUAGAUAUAUCAAAGUGUUAGCGGUAUAGGAUGGACCCGCGUCUGAUUAGCUAGUUGGUGAGAUAACUGCCCACCAAGGCGACGAUCAGUAGCCGACCUGAGAGGGUGAUCGGCCACAUUGGAACUGAGACACGGUCCAAACUCCUACGGGAGGCAGCAGUGGGGAAUAUUGCACAAUGGGCGCAAGCCUGAUGCAGCAACGCCGCGUGAACGAUGAAGGUCUUCGGAUCGUAAAGUUCUGUUGCAGGGGAAGAUAAUGACGGUACCCUGUGAGGAAGCCCCGGCUAACUACGUGCCAGCAGCCGCGGUAAUACGUAGGGGGCUAGCGUUAUCCGGAUUUACUGGGCGUAAAGGGUGCGUAGGUGGUCUUUCAAGUCGGUGGUUAAAGGCUACGGCUCAACCGUAGUUAGCCUCCGAAACUGGAAGACUUGAGUGCAGGAGAGGAAAGUGGAAUUCCCAGUGUAGCGGUGAAAUGCGUAGAUAUUGGGAGGAACACCAGUAGCGAAGGCGGCUUUCUGGACUGCAACUGACACUGAGGCACGAAAGCGUGGGUAGCAAACAGGAUUAGAUACCCUGGUAGUCCACGCUGUAAACGAUGAGUACUAGGUGUCGGGGGUUACCCCCCUCGGUGCCGCAGCUAACGCAUUAAGUACUCCGCCUGGGGAGUACGCACGCAAGUGUG